UGCAUGUACUUUGAUAUUAUUGCAGGAUGGAUAAAUGGGAGACAGGUAUGUAAUCAUAUAUGUUAGAGUAGGUACUAUUAUAUUGAUAGAGAAGAAACAUGUUUCUCCUGAUAUUAAAUAAGUUAUGAUAAUUAAAAUUUAGAAUUAUAUCUCAUCACUUUGUCAUGGCAGAAUAAGCAUAAACACCAUAUUUUCUGUAUAUUGUACAGGUAACUAUAGAGGAAAAAGUAGUAUUAACCAUAGCAUUAAUCCUUUCCUUCAGUGACCUUUUGGCUCAGGUGACUUCUGACCCGGAGGGCCCCUGUUCUGACAAAGAGAGGCACAUCCAGAGGAGAGGAUCUUGAAACUGGUUUUGGUUCUAUCCACCCCUCCACAUCUCCGGCACAUCUGGUUUAAGGAAAAGUUUCCGGUUGAGCCGGAAGGACAACACAAGUCAACAUGUGAGACAGAAGAUGGGUGAAGGACAUGCCAGUAUCCAUUUACCAAUAUAUCAGGAGGUCCUGCCUUAAAAGAGAAAGCCUGACGAGCCUUACCGUCUUGUGCUUCGAAGUGGGCUAAGCGUCUCUGUGACGAGAGGG
ensembl:lncRNA